AAACACCAAUUUAGAUAUAGCUAUGUGCUUAGCCAAGUUUUUUAAUUUUUACUGCUAGUUAAUUUGAAUUUCUCAAGAGCUAGCAAUGGCAUCAAUGAAGGCUGAAAAGCCUGUUGGCACUCAACUCUUUGGGCAGGUCAAGAAGGAAGCUUCAACUUCAAAGGUCACCGCUGCUUCCAAGCCUGCCGCCAAAAAGGCUACUCAAAAGCCUCUGGAACCCAAAAAGCCCGCCGCUAAGAAGGGAAAAGGUGGGAAAGCAGCGACCAAGCAGUAGAUGCCAGUCCCAAUGCAAGAGCAGAUUUUUAGGGCUUAAGAUACUAAAUAUAUAAGCUUAUAUAAUAUAUAUAUAUGUGUGUGUUUGUGUUAUGAUCAGGGAAACUUAACUAAUUAGGGUUUUCUUGUAAGUUGUUUCGAUAAAGAUAUUGUACUGAUUAAAUAAGACACCAUAUAUAUAUCAUUACAAGGGUAUUAUACCA